rnacentral:lncRNA from 1 species
CAUGACUCUUCAGAGGCUCUUCAGGUUCUCCUCUGUCAUUCUGUCAGCAGUCUCAGUCCAUUUGUGGAGGAACAUCAGUGUUACAGCAGUGGCAUUUAAUAAGGAACUUGAUCCUAUACAGAAACUCUUGUGGACAAGAUUAGAGAAUACAAAUCGAAGUGACAGACAUCUGGAGGACCUGUUGAUACUGGUCCAGAGUAUCAGCAAGAGCUUGAGAGGGAGCUUUUUAAGUUCAAGCAAAUGUUUGGUAAAACAGACAUGAAUACAUUUCCCAACUUCAAAUUUGAAGAUCCCAAAUCUGAAGUCAUCGAAAAACCCC